rnacentral:rRNA from 1 species
UACGUAGGGGGCAAGCGUUGUCCGGAAUUAUUGGGCGUAAAGCGCGCGCAGGCGGUCAUUUAAGUCUGGUGUUUAAUCCUGGGGCUCAACCCCAGUUCGCAUCGGAAACUGGAUGACUUGAGUGUAAGAGAGGAAAGUGGAAUUCCACGUGUAGCGGUGAAAUGCGUAGAGAUCAGGAAGAACACCGGUGGCGAAAGCGCUCUGCUGGACCUUAACUGACACUGAGGGACGAAAGCUAGGGGAGCGAACGGG